rnacentral:rRNA from 1 species
CCUACGGGGGGCAGCAGUGGGGAAUAUUGGGCAAUGGGCGCAAGCCUGACCCAGCAACGCCGCGUGAAGGAAGAAGGCUUUCGGGUUGUAAACUUCUUUUGACAGGGAAGAGCAGAAGACGGUACCUGUCGAAUAAGCCACGGCUAACUACGUGCCAGCAGCCGCGGUAAUACGUAGGUGGCAAGCGUUGUCCGGAUUUACUGGGUGUAAAGGGCGUGUAGCCGGGCUGACAAGUCAGAUGUGAAAUCCGGGGGCUCAACCCCCGAACUGCAUUUGAAACUGUUGGUCUUGAGUAUCGGAGAGGCAGGCGGAAUUCCUAGUGUAGCGGUGAAAUGCGUAGAUAUUGCGCAGAACCCCGAUUGCGAAGGCAGCGUGCCGUGCCGCCACUGACGCUGAGGCACGAAAGCGCGGGGAUCGAACAGGAUUAGAUACCCGAGUAGUC